rnacentral:tRNA from 1 species
GCCGAGGUAGCUCAGGUGGUAGAGCACUUGACUGAAAAUCAAGGUGUCAGCGGUUCGACUCCGCUCCUCGGCACCA